UACGUAGGGUCCGAGCGUUGUCCGGAAUUACUGGGCGUAAAGAGCUCGUAGGUGGUUUGUCGCGUUGUUCGUGAAAACUCACAGCUUAACUGUGGGCGUGCGGGCGAUACGGGCAGACUGGAGUACUGCAGGGGAGACUGGAAUUCCUGGUGUAGCGGUGGAAUGCGCAGAUAUCAGGAGGAACACCGGUGGCGAAGGCGGGAUCCUGGGCCAGUACUGACGCUGAGGAGCGAAAGCGUGGGGAGCAAACAGG
rnacentral:rRNA from 1 species